rnacentral:misc_RNA from 1 species
UCCCGGUUGGCCCGGGCAGUCUUGCCUGAAAUUGCAACAGACAGUAAGGGUUGCGCUCGUUGCGGGACUUAACCCAACAUCUCACGACACGAGCUGACGACGGCCAUGCAACACCUGUCACUAGGUUCCCGGAGGCACUCCCGACUUUCGCCAGGAUUCCUAGGAUGUCAAGCCUUGGUAAGGUUCUUCGCGUACCAUCGAAUUAAACCACAUGCUCCACCGCUUGUGCGGGCCCCCGUCAAUUCAUUUGAGUUUUAACCUUGCGGCCGUACUCCCCAGGCGGUCAACUUAAUGCGUUAGCUGCGCCACUAAGAGCUCAAGGCUCCCAACGGCUAGUUGACAUCGUUUACGGCGUGGACUAC